CGGUGUUCAACUGGCGUGUCCGCGGGACGUCCUGCCGGUGGGCUUAGCCCGCAAGGGCGGCCCAACUUCAAAUCCCAUCGCGGUGCUCUUCACUGAGUGUCGAGGUGGGCCGGCACGUUUACUUUGAACAAAUUAGAGUGCUUAAAGCAGGCUAAAACUUCGCCUGAAUACUGUGUGCAUGGAAUAAUGGAAUAGGACCUCGGUUCUAUUUUGUUGGUUUUCGGAACCCCGAGGUAAUGAUUAAUAGGAACGGAUGGGGGCAUUCGUAUUGCGACGUUAGAGGUGAAAUUCUUGGAUCGUCGCAAGACGGACAGAAGCGAAAGCAUUUGCCAAAAACGCUUUCAUUGAUCAAGAACGAAAGUUAGAGGUUCGAAGGCGAUCAGAUACCGCCCUAGUUCUAACCAUAAACGAUGCCAGCUAGCGAUCCGUCGACGUUCCUCCGAUGACUCGACGGGCAGCUUCCGGGAAACCAAAGCUUUUGGGUUCCGGGGGAAGUAUGGUUGCAAAGCUGAAACUUAAAGGAAUUGACGGAAGGGCACCACCAGGAGUGGAGCCUGCGGCUUAAUUUGACUCAACACGGGAAACCUCACCAGGCCCGGACACCGGAAGGAUUGACAGAUUGAGAGCUCUUUCUUGAUUCGGUGGGUGGUGGUGCAUGGCCGUUCUUAGUUGGUGGAGCGAUUUGUCUGGUUAAUUCCGAUAACGAACGAGACUCUAGCCUGCUAACUAGGCGUAUUUUCGACAUCUCAAAGGUCCGUCGUCCCGGCCCUCGGGUCGUGGGCGUGCGCGAUUUUUACUGUCGGCGUACUAUCAAUUCUUCUUAGAGGGACAGGUGGCCUCUAGCCGCACGAGAUUGAGCAAUAACAGGUCUGUGAUG
rnacentral:rRNA from 1 species